UGGCCCCCAUAUGAGGCAAGCAAGUGCAGUGCUGCUGCUAAGGUUAAAGAACAACCAGAUGAAGAAUGGCAUGAACUUCAAAUUAAAUGGGUGGCCCAAUAUAAGACCUAUGAGAAAGCAAGGCAAAAACUUGUGCAGUUUUCAAAGGGAAAAGGUCUCCUCAGCACAGAUGAAGAAAGUGGGCGUAUAAGACAACCAUCCUCAAGAUAUGGCCCAGCGAGUGGCUUUGACACAUCUGUUGCCCUACCUGACAUGGUCUCAUCAAGUCAGCUCCACACAAGUACACAACGUGUUAAAAACACACCGACAAAGUAAGUAAGCACACU